GAAGUAGGCAAACUGAUACAUGAAUCCUAAAUACAGGUUGAGGCUUGCUAUCAGCAGGAACAUGGAGCACUCUAUGCUAGUGAGUCUGCUGGGCUAUCGAACUCUAGAGCAGCACAUCAAAACACCUGCCAUCCUGUUGUCAGCUAUCCGCAGACUUUCAAUGCCCACAUUUUGUGGAUGACCAAAUGCAAUAAAGUUUUGUAUAACAACUAA